UACAGAGGUCUCAAGCGUUGUUCGGAUUCAUUGGGCGUAAAGGGUGCGUAGGCGGCGCGGUAAGUCGGGUGUGAAAUCUCGGAGCUUAACUCCGAAACUGCAUUCGAAACUGCAGAGCUGGAGUCCUGGAGAGGAAGGCGGAAUUCUCGGUGUAGAGGUGAAAUUCGUAGAUAUCGAGAGGAACACCGGUGGCGAAGGCGGCCUUCUGGACAGUGACUGACGCUGAGACGCGAAAGCGUGGGGAGCAAACAGG
rnacentral:rRNA from 1 species